rnacentral:lncRNA from 1 species
AGAAGGAAGUGGGGAUAAUGACGGAGUGUCACCGUGUGCGGGCCCUCCGCGGGGCUCGGCGGCUCCGAGGGCACGGAGUGCAAAUAGAGUGGGUUCGGGAGCCGUUCUGAAAAGAAAGGCUGCCUUUGAGAGCCGCUGUCGGGAGCCGCGAAACUUUUAUCCCCGCGGAUGAAGUGCCGGGUUCGUCAGAGCUGUGUACUCACGGAGGGGUAAUGAAAGAGCAACGCUUUUAGCGUGGUGGAUGGAUGAAAAUAGGCCGCUGUGAGACUGAAAAUACGAUGAAGGUGGCACACCGCAGUGCUAAUUAAGUGUCUUAAUUGGGAAAAUAAUAACGCCCUCUCGGAUGUGCAUUGGGUCUGCUCAUUUCUCAGCUGUAUGAGUACACACAGGUGCAAGGAAAGUCAACAUUAUGUAAGAUGCCAAAAACCUUUGCUGGAACGUCGCUCCCUGCUGACAAGAUGAUCCCACACCGGGGUGUGGGCAUUCCGGAGAAUUAAACCUGUGUGUGAAAACACAUCUCAUAGAAACCAUGAACGCAUGCCAAGGUAAUAGCCGCUGCCUCCCCGCCUACAUAUUUAUUUGUGAUACAUGACAGCAGCAUUACGCUUAUUUCUUCUUUAUUUUCAUUUUAGCUAGGGAUUUUUAUUAUUAUUAUUUUG